AGGGCGACCAACUGUCCUGGUUUGCCUAGGACUGAGGGGUUUCCAGGAACUCGGGACUUGCAAACGAGAGUAAGUUGCUCACCCUA
rnacentral:miRNA from 1 species